GAAAAAUAAAAUAAAAGGGAGAAAUUAAAUGGCAAACGAAGAAAGUGAACUUUACUUUGUUUUCAUGAACUAUGAUCCUGAAUACGAGCGGCUUCGAUCCAAAAGGACAAAGAAGGGAAGCUAUGAGCUAGAUAUGUACAUAAGCAAUAAACAUGAUGAGCUGUUAGCAAAUACAUUUGAGGCAGGAACCUAUAACAAGAGAUUGUCUUUGGUUAUUGUUGAUGGAUUUGCUGUUGAAAUCACUCAACAUCAGGCCAAUGUGCUUAGAUCUGCAAAAGAAGUGAGGGUUGUGGAGAAAAAUCAAGAACUUGCUUAAUGGCUUGGAUGGUUAUUAUUAUUAUUAUUAUUGAGAAAUUUAAUAUAUAGAUUUAAAAAU